rnacentral:rRNA from 1 species
GACGAACCGUGCGAACGUUGUUCGGAUUCACUGGGCAUAAAGGGCGCGUAGGCGGAUGGUCAAGUCGGGGGUGAAAUCUUUCAGCUUAACUGGAAAAGUGCCUCCGAUACUGGAUCGUCUCGAGGGAGGUAGGGGCAUGUGGAACUUCCGGUGGAGCGGUGAAAUGCGUAGAUAUCGGAAGGAACGCCGGUGGCGAAAGCGACGUGCUGGACCUCUUCUGACGCUGAGGCGCGAAAGCUAGGGGAGCAAACGGG